AGCGAGGUUACCCUUUGUGUAUUCGGUUUAUUGACGUGGAAUAUACAAGGGCAAGCUCUCU
rnacentral:pre_miRNA from 1 species